GGCGCUGUAUGUGAUUUACCGUCGGAGGAAGUCCGUUCACGGCAAAAACCGCACUGCAGCAAUGCAGUACAGCAAACUGUAGGCAACCGAACAGAAAUGAUACCCGAGCCGCAAGCUAAAUAUGAGGCGAGGCCGAUUUUUGCGGAUAAGGGAUGAAACAGCGGACCUGCGGCGUGCAAACCCUAUUUGGGCGCUCAGUCGAAUAUUACAACGCAUUACAGUGAUACCACUUUAAAUGGUGGAGAUGCGACAGAAAACGGGCUAUUCAGCGCC
rnacentral:RNase_P_RNA from 1 species